UUGCAUCCCCUCUUUUUUUCCUUUUUCGGUUUGGUUUGGUUUAGUUCGGUCAGUUUGAUCGGUUUAUCGAUUUUUAUGCUCACCCCUAGCCACAACCACCUCCAUUGCCGAAGAAAUGGGGAGUAAAACAUCCACUACAAAUUUGAAUAAGACUCUCCCUUCUUAGUGUGAUUAAGAUAUGUUGGAGGGUAUUUUUAUUGCAUCUUAUUUUAAUUAUGAUUUGUUGAUGGUGAAACUUUGUGUUAAUUCUUUUAAGUGUUGUGUAGGUUGCUUUGUGAAGGCUUUUGGAAGAAUGGAUGCAUCAUAUUUUUUGCAAGGAUAUUAUCUCUAUGUGUAUUUUUGUGAUGGGUUGUAAUCUUUAAUGUCAUAAGUUUAAUUUGGUUUGUGUAUUAUUUUUUGUAAUGGUUUGUAAGAGAUUAUAUUUCCUUUCUUGGUUGGUUGGUUGGUUGAAUGUGUGUAUGUGAGAUUUAUUUAGUUUAGAAACUUAGAUUGGAAUGAUGGAUUUUUAUAGCUUGAAUGUACAUAAUUUCAGGUUUUGAAAGAGAAGUAAAAAGUGUUUUGGGCUUGUUCAU